GAUGAACGCUGGCGGCGUGCCUAAUACAUGCAAGUCGAGCGAACGGACGAGAAGCUUUCUUCUCUGAUGUUAGCGGCGGACGGGUGAGUAACACGUGGAUAACCUACCUAUAAGACUGGGAUAACUUCGGGAAACCGGAGCUAAUACCGGAUAAUAUUUUGAACCGCAUGGUUCAAAAGUGAAAGACGGUCUUGCUGUCACUUAUAGAUGGAUCCACGCUGCAUUAGCUAGUUGGUAAGGUAACGGCUUACCAAGGCAACGAUGCAUAGCUGACCUGAGAGGGUGAUCGGCCACACUGGAACUGAGACACGGUCCAGACUCCUACGGGAGGCAGCAGUAGGGAAUCUUCCGCAAUGGGCGAAAGCCUGACGGAGCAACGCCGCGUGAGUGAAGAAGGUCUUCGGAUUGUAAAACUCUGUUAGUAGGGAAGAACAGAAGUGUAAGUAACUGUGCAUAUCUUGACGGUACCUAAACAGAAAGCCACGGCUAACUACGUG
rnacentral:rRNA from 1 species